GCCGGAGUGGCGGAAUUGGCAGACGCGCGGGAUUCAAAAUCCCGUUCUCGCAAGAGAGUGUGGGUUCAAGUCCCUCCUCCGGCA
rnacentral:tRNA from 1 species